CCUGGAAAUGGCCCUUGAGGGGAAAAAUAAUGAAUGCAGGAAGCAAGACUAAAAACGUGUACAAUUACAUGAUUUAAAAGAUUUUGCAAGAAAACCCACCAUGGUAUCAAGCCGAUUAUCAGAAGACCAGCAAGUACAACGCUUUCCCGGGAACGUUUUGGUAAUAGGACUUUCAAACUAGCAACUUGAGUCAAAGUAAGAAACAUGCUUUGGCUCUGAGGACCCAUCAGCUAAUAUUAACACGGGAAAGAGAAAGAACAGGUUGACAGGAAGCCCCAGCUCUCCCCUGAUUCCAUUCAGGAGAUCAUUAAGGAAGGAGUCUUGCUGUAAAGUACACCUUUUUUCCUCCGAUGACAGUGACAACCAGGGCGACUUGAGUCAGGGGCCAACCAGCUCUCCUUUGACAAACAAACACCCACUCUGUUUCCCUCUACAUAGCAUGUGCCAUAAAUACCACAUUUCAAAGAUGAAGCAGAGGCACAAGGAUUGAACAAGAAUAUUGAUGAGACGAAGGCCUGCAACAAGGACCUUCAAACACAGUGGCUCCAAGAAUACAGCUCACCUCCAUGUUUCGCCUGCUG
rnacentral:lncRNA from 1 species